UACGAAGGGGGCUAGCGUUGCUCGGAAUUACUGGGCGUAAAGCGCACGUAGGCGGAUUUGUAAGUCAGGGGUGAAAUCCCGGGGCUCAACCUCGGAACUGCCUUUGAUACUGCAAAUCUCGAGUCCGAUAGAGGUGGGUGGAAUUCCUAGUGUAGAGGUGAAAUUCGUAGAUAUUAGGAAGAACACCGGUGGCGAAGGCGGCCCACUGGAUCGGUACUGACGCUGAGGUGCGAAAGCGUGGGGAGCAAACAGG
rnacentral:rRNA from 1 species